UGCUUAUUUUCAAAAAAAAUCAUUUGAAGAGUUGUUAAUCCCCGCCAUGACUAAGAAGGUACCUGUAACAUUACAGGAGGGGUGACAUGGCUGAAGUAAUACGAAGAAUAGCAGCUCACCUGGACCAGCCUUUGAGCGGCAGAGACCAGGAACUCAUUAAUUUUAUAAGGCAAAGGUUUUCCACAAAUUUGAAAACAGAUCAGGGUUAUGUCCCGGUGAAGGUGACAACUAGAAACGACACUACAUAUAUCCUUCCACAUGAGCAACAGAAGAAGCAGAAUUAUGAUAGGAGAAAAGAUCUACUGAGCAAUGGAUUCUUCACUCCUGCUGAUAAAGCAUAUCAGAAUGUUGGGACUGUAAGCCUGGACAAUGUUGAUUUAUUUUCCUACUGUCUGACCUCUGAGGAUCAGGAGCAACUCAGAGUGAGUGAAAACUAAAAGGAUUGAUGCACCAAAUUUCACUUGACAAAUGACAGAGCAUGUGUAAAAACAGAGGUACUUUAGUUUUAGAAUUAGUAAAGAAGAGCAAACC